GUUCCCGUAGUUGAAUUACAACGGUGGUUUUUCAAGUCAUUGGUUUCGGUUAGAGUCCGGGCGGGAAUU
rnacentral:tRNA from 5 species